GGGCAAUAUUUAUGUAAAUAUAUAUUCCAGUUUGGUAAGAUUCUUUAAUAUGUCAUUCAAUUUGAUAUAAACUAUCUGUUGCUUAAGUAUUCAUUUUGGGGGUAUAGUUCUCCUUUAAGGUCUGUAUGAGUCGGUGCUAAAAAGCUCGGGGGGAGACAAGAAUGCAGCAUGAAAGGAAUCUAAGUGUAGUAGGUUGUUGUGGUUCCACACCUUCCCAAAACUCGCUAUAGGGUGUCAGAUUUCUCCUUACAUUCACCACGUGUAAGUUUAAAGUUGGGUACUUACAAACGUUUAUAGUUCAAAUCACAUUCAACAGAAAAGCCAGGAUGGGAUACCAAUAUUUACUCCAUGAUUUGAGAAGUUUUAAAAAAGCACAUCAAAUCCCCUUUUUCCCUUUAAUGUCCGUGUUACUGCACAAGUUUGUCUUAUAGUUUUGCCUCCGACCCGCGUUGCUUCCACCCGCUGUAACACUCCUGGGAUGCUUGGAGAUGACGUCGGGGUCACCAUCUUGGAAAGUGUUUGUGACACUCACAUGCUCAGUGGGCUCUGAUUGGCUGUUGAGAAGCUAAGCUUAGGGCUCGUCACUAAUUAUCCAGCAGAAAAUGAGCUUCCCUGGCUGUAAUAUAAGCUGAUGCUACAGGGGUAGAGAGACGAGAUUUCUGUUUAGAAUUAAUAGAGCUAUACAUUUUGAUGUCUCAGACAGAAUCCACUGCCCAAGUCCGUUGUGUCCCUGUAACCCAGUUCUUUGGACCCACAUAUCCGUUAGGCUGGGCUGGACUGGUCUGUUCUGAAACCAGCCAAUCACAGCUCUUCAAGUGUGACCAGGCUAGCUAGAAGAAUAUCGAGAGACGGCCGUUAAUAAUUAUUACAAAGCAUUUUCCUGAAGCCGCUCAGGCCUGUGAGAAGAAGCUUUUGCCAGUACCUUAUGCCAGUUCUGAGUCGCCUCGUUGAUCUUCCGUACAGAGCCCGGCUGGAGCUUGUUGAUGAGCCUAUUGAAAUGAGGAAGAGACACACUAUAUCAACAGUAUCACCCCAGAAUGAAAACAAUGAGGGUAACCUGGAGUCUUCCAUAUGCUGUCUAAUGUCAACUCCCAAAAGCCUCUCUAACAGUCUUCUUCUGACACUGGCACCCUAUAUUACCUAUAUGUUCCCAGUGCAAUCUUCAUGGAGGCAUGCAGAACUUAAUCGGACUUGUUGGUAACGCUAUUCAAUCGGUAACUGAAUUGGCACAUGAAUAUUAGUUGGUCGAAUGGGGAAGAUUUGGGGGGUGUAACCAAAGUGGUCAACGUUCUGCCUGUUUAGUUUUCGAGUCCAUAUUUAUGUAGCUUAGUACAUGAAUUACAUGACUGGUGAAACAUCUCUUAAAGAAAAACACAGCAAGUCCAGUUGAUUUGACUUAAUUCUACCGAUAUACAAAGGCAACCGUUGGAAUGUCACACCGUACCGCCUGGCUUUGCCCAUUAUGGAGAAAGAAUUUGGGAGAUAAGAAAAGGAAAACACUCCGAGGCACAUUUACCAACGGUCGGCUUUGAAAUCCAUGUGAGUUUUUUAAAACUCCCCUAAUCUCCCAUAAAUUAGACAAAUCAAAUUUUAUCAAUAAAAUCAGAAAUUUCUAAUUCACAAUUUAAACGACCCGAAAUUUCGAAAUCAAAUUAAUUCAUUCUUCGACUAAAAUUUUUACUUAAACAGCAAUUCGGCAGGUUUUAGGUGGUGAAUAGUAGAAUUCGAAUUUAAACAGGGCCAAAGUAUGAAAAAUCUCAAAAAUUAAAAAAUCAAAUCAAAUCUGGAUAACUCCCUAGAUGAUUUUGACAGUUUUGACCAUGAAAAAAAUUCUAAUUUUCAGUUUGACCCUUAAUAAAUCUGCCCCUCUAUGUUUACAUGGAUUAAUCCGGCCAUUAAAGUGCAUUAUGAAUCAUGACGAGGGAGGGUGCAUGGAAGCUUUGUGUCUUUGGCAUAGGUAAAACUCUGAUUAUUAUGUUUAGGAACAAUCCCUCCCUACUUCUUGCCAUGGAUCCCAGCGACUUCUACCUUAUACACAGGAGAAUAAGGCCAUAUUAUGUCCAUACUAAGGGGGUUAUUUAUUGAAUGAGUUUUUGGCACCUUGAAUGAACUCACAACUCGAAUGGAAAAAACUCAAUUCUGCGAAUUUGUGAAACCCAAAAACUCGAAUGAGUUUUACGUGGGAAAAAACUAAAUCAAAAAGCUUGGGAAAAAAUUAAUCGGGGGGAAAAAUCGUUUGAGUUUUGGGCAAAACCCUCUGAAAAAAAAAACUUGACCAUCAUACAGGCUAUAAACAUCUUCAAAUUGUUCAAGGGACCUCUGCCAUUGACUCGUACAUGACCUUGACAGGUUUUAG